rnacentral:rRNA from 1 species
GGCCAGACUCCUACGGGAGGCAGCAGUGGGGAAUAUUGCACAAUGGGGGGAACCCUGAUGCAGCGACGCCGCGUGGGCGAGGAAGUAUUUCGGUAUGUAAAGCCCUAUCGGCAGGGAAGAAGAAAUGACGGUACCUGAAUAAGAAGCACCGGCUAAAUACGGGCCAGCAGCCGCGGUAAUACGUAUGGGGCAAGCGUUAUCCGGAUUUACUGGGUGUAAAGGGGGCGCAGACGGCGAUGCAAGCCAGGAGUGAAAGCCCGGGGCCCAACCCCGGGACUGCUCUUGGAACUGCGUGGCUGGAGUGCAGGAGGGGCAGGCGGAAUUCCUGGUGUAGCGGUGAAAUGCGUAGAUAUCAGGAGGAACACCGGUGGCGAAGGCGGCCUGCUGGACUGCAACUGACGUUGAGGCCCGAAAGCGUGGGGAGCAAACAGGAUUAGAUACCCUAGUA